UCCCAGUUAGUACAACGGUCAGUAUACGGCUUUUUCAAGAUUUGGCGCCAAGCGUCAAAUGAGCAGCUGAGAUCGGGGUUCGAUUCCCCGGCCGGGAA